rnacentral:rRNA from 1 species
GAUGAACGCUGGCGGCGUGCCUAAUACAUGCAAGUCGAGCGAACAGACGAGGAGCUUGCUCCUCUGACGUUAGCGGCGGACGGGUGAGUAACACGUGGAUAACCUACCUAUAAGACUGGGAUAACUUCGGGAAACCGGAGCUAAUACCGGAUAAUAUAUUGAACCGCAUGGUUCAAUAGUGAAAGACGGUUUUGCUGUCACUUAUAGAUGGAUCCGCGCCGCAUUAGCUAGUUGGUAAGGUAACGGCUUACCAAGGCAACGAUGCGUAGCCGACCUGAGAGGGUGAUCGGCCACACUGGAACUGAGACCCGGUCCAGCCUCCUCCGGGAGGCAGCAGUAGGGAAUCUUCCGCAAUGGGCGAAAGCCUGACGGAGCAACGCCGCGUGAGUGAUGAAGGUCUUCGGAUCGUAAAACUCUGUUAUUAGGGAAGAACAAAUGUGUAAGUAACUAUGCACGUCUUGACGGUACCUAAUCAGAAAGCCACGGCUAACUACGU